UUUUAUGGCAACUGUGCAAGGGACACCUUCGGGUGUGCCGGAUUGCCCUCUCAUCCGGUCGGCCAACCCUUGUACUGUUGCCACCCAA
rnacentral:antisense_RNA from 1 species